rnacentral:tRNA from 1 species
GUCAGGUUGGCCGAGUGGUCUAAGGCGCCAGACUCAAGCGUAAUAGCUUCGCAGUUUCACACUAUGGCCCUGGGUGUUCUGGUCCUCGUCUGAGGGCGUGGGUUCAAAUCCCACACCUGACA